AUAGCCUCUGAGGUGAUGAGGAAGGUAAAUUAGGUUUAACUUUCUCCCUAGCUAUAAGGAGGCUAUUACAUCUGAAAAUACACUCUAGUUUCGUAUAAGAAAAUCGUAUCCUUCUUGUUAACAUGAAGUUGCCUUUACAGACUGUGAAUCAACAACUCUGCCAUUGUUGGGUUAAGGGCUGUUAAUUCCUUCAGAAGCCUGGCUUAAGUCCUAAGAGUCACCCCACUAAAGCAAUAAUAAAAAGGACUAUUUUAAAUUGCUGACUUCCUAUUCUAUGCUAUUGGAACAAGUGAGAAAAUGAAAACAAUACAGAGAAGGCAGUAAAUGAAGCUUCAUUGGCCCUUUUUGCCUGGAUACCAAAGAGCCAGGCAUUGGCGCAGGCCAUGCAGAGACUGGCAGAGGCCUUGAAGUUCUUCUCGUCAGUGAUAUGACUCUGGCUUUCU
ensembl:lncRNA